ACAUUGAGUGCUACGUAUUCACAUUUUUGAUAGUGUAACCUAUGUGUGCCUUUAAGCACGUUCUCACAUGUUUCAGUUUAUGAAAUCUAAAUUAUGUACAGCUUUGUAAAAUUAAAAAAUGCACUGAAUUAAUCUCCAGCACGUACACUGGGUUUGACUCGGUCACCUGUGUGACCAGGCAAGGAAAGCAUGACCUUUUGCACCAGAAAAAUUCAGAACUACUGAAGAAUGGAAUUAUCACAAAUACGGAAGCAAUUGAACCCAUACAAAGACAUGGCAGCAAGGAAAGCAAAAACAUGUUACAAGAUGUGUUUAUAAUAGCGUCUUUAAAAAUACAAAGUGAUUGUAACAGGUUUUAGCUACAAGGAAAAUUUUUGUGGCAAGGGGAAAUGAUAGAGCUGUGUUCCUUUCUUUAUUGCUGAAGGGUUUGCUUUUGUGCUGUGGCUUGUGGCUGCACUUCCUGGUCAUAGUUGCAUUUAUGGACGUGUUUCCUGCAAGGUUCGGAGGGCAGCACCGCGAAAAAUAAGCUCUGACGUUUAGAAACCACUUAUGGAAAGUUAUGAGCUGGCUCGACUUUUCACCAAAUCCCCUUCCAAACCACUGAGGUAAAUUCAGGAGGAAAGCUGCCCCCUGACGGGGCCGGGAGCCCGGCCCGGCCGCCAGGCGAGGUGCGGGGCGACGGGCUGUCCCCCGCAGGGCCCAGCGGGCACCCGCAGCGGGCUCUGAACCGCGUCCCACCCCCGCCAGCCACCGGGCCGUGCGGACGCUGCCGCCCCGCUCCCCGCCAGCGCCCGCCCUCCCUCCCUCCCGCUCCCAGCGCCGCCUCGGGGCGCCCGCCGCCCCGCUCCCCCCGGCCAGCGGCCUCUCCGCCACCCCCGCGCGGCCGCGCUCACCUCUGCCCCGCCACGGAGCGCGGUGGGGGCGGCGAGGGGGUGGUCGGCUCCCGCCAAGCGCCGGCGGGCGGCCGCAGGGAGCCGCGGCGGCAGGCGAGGCGCAGGCGGCGGGAGGCCGGGCGGCAGGCCGGGCGGGAGGCCGAGCCCUCCCGUCACGUGACAGCGCCGUCACGUGGCGCGGCGCCGGCUGAUGAGGCCGUUCCGCCCGCCCCGCGCCCAGCCCGCUCCUGCUGCCGAGACCGCCGGCGUGUGGCCGCCUCCGGGCCGCGGUGGCUGGCACUAGAUUCCUGCCUUUCACAGUGUGUAUCUGUGAAAUUUCCAAAAGUACAGCAGGCUUUCUCAGUGAGUGAGAUUUGCCGUGUUCAAGAAGGGAAUUAGGUUCUCCGUGUAAACUCUGAUACAUUAAAUGGGCCCAGAAAGAUAGAGCUGCUAAAAUAAUUUUAUGUGGAUAUUUAAUAGGGUACAUCUGGAUCAAAGAGGUUCUAUACAAACAGUCUUGCUAAAAUGGCAAACAGGUGCUUAAAAAAAAAAAGUUAAAUACUGUAACAGGUGACAGCAUUUGUUACUAAAUCUUCAAGAGCAUCCUUUUCCUUUCAAGGAGUUUUGUAAGGAGCUUUUUCCUUGUCUUCUAUUGUCGGUCUGACAGCCUCUAAAGAUCUUUCAAGAUAGAAACACUUCUUUUGGCAGGGAGAGCACGAGCUGACAUAACUGGACCGUUUUUGAAGGCCACUGCCUCCUCUGUGGCAAGAUGCACCUCUAGAAGGGGAUAGAGAGGAAGGCAGUUUGUAUGUAAUUCAGAAGUUCAAAUUGCAGUGAACUUGAGCUGUUGUUAAAAUGUUGGAAUGGUGUCAUAAAAGUUGGUCUUGAGGGGCCAAGCACAUUUUUUGGAUGGAAAAAAAAAAAGAAAAGAUAACAAAAUAAAACAUUAGAACAGAAGAGAGUGUGACAGCAGACAUUCAGGUCUUAUAGCCUGCACAAUAUUCAUGAGGAAUGUGGCAAUGAUCAGUUUUGGGCGCACACAAGAUGUAGUUCUGGAAUCCCAGGAAAAGUAGUAGAGGGAGAUACAGCCUUAGGUAUGCAAAGCCUGGGCAAAGCUUUAUCCUUUCUAUUUAGAUAUUUUCCAGACUUCUGUGGGAUUAUAGCUUGUCAGAGGCUGUUGUUGAUAGAAGUCAUCUCCUUGUUAUUUUCUGUAUGAUUCAGAUAAAACUGGUAUACCCCACAUUUGGUUGGGGAUUCCAUUCUCUACCUCCCCCAAAAUGAUCUCAGUAUAGUCCUUGAACAUACCAGUUGUUCUUUACAUGGACUAAUGCAGUAUUUCUGUUUAUCCAAGACUUUUGUUAGGAUUUUUUGUGUGUGAACAACUGUGUAUCUAAAGCAGAGUGGAGUUCUUAUCUUCUGCAACUUGAAGUUAAAAAUUCGGCAUGAAGUUCGUGUUUGUUAUAAUAGCUACACGUUGUCCGAGUGAAUUGUGGUAAAGCAUGAAGAAGGAAGAGCAGAAGUUUGAAUUUCUGAGAAGGAACCAGCUGAUGUGAACAGUGUGGAUAGGCACAGCAUAAGCAGACUCACUUGAAGGUUGUAUUAAUGACAAAGGAGAAGCAGUUAAUCCCUGCAAGGCUGUAGGUUGUGGGUCUGUAUUGGAAAGGAAGAUGGUGGUAAAGAACAAUGUGAUGCCUGUGCCAGUCUUGUUCUACUAAUGGAGCAUUGGUACUAAAAGUCUGUAGCAUCUUUGGGGGAAGUAGGUAGCAUUUGUAAGGUGGGCUUUUGUUUAAAAGUGGUUCUAGAUGUUAUACUGUUAAGGACAUUCGUAGAAGAGUGGCCCUUUGUUAGAUUAGAUUAUUUUUUUCCCCAAGGGCCAGCUGUUGAGACAGGCUUGUAGCUGGUGAGGCUGAAUUGGAUGCGAGAAGUCACAUUUCUUUCUAGCCUAAUUGGUAAGAUGCCUAGAAAACACAGACAAGUUUUUGCGCAUGUGGACUUCUUUAGAUCUCAAAUAGAGCAGUAAUUUUCAAGCGAACAUAAUCAUUGAAUUUGAACCUCAUUGUGGUUUAGCAAUAAGACUAAGCAGAUGAAAGCUGCAAGUUGCUUUUUGUGCUGCAGUUUUGCUUAAUAUUGAGUAAGAGGUGAAUUGAAAACCUCUGGUGAAUUGCAGUUCAACUGAAAUGACUGACAUCCUGGGAGCUAAGAUUUCGUCUUUGCUUUCUGGUGUUUCAGUGGUUCUGUUGACUAGUGGUUAGCUAGCUAUACUUCUGUUUUCUCUCCCAAAUUCUUUGCGUGUAAACUGCAUUCAGAAU
ensembl:lncRNA